rnacentral:lncRNA from 1 species
GGGGGGGGGGUACAUUGGAAAAGACUAAAUAAACGCCACAAGAGAAAGCAUAACAGAAAAGACCUUUGGGAAGCAGAAGUGAGAUUGAGGCUCUGAAAAUCAUCCAAAGCGCCUGAAAAUUAACUCAAGGGGUCAGUUUCCAGUCUAAUUCAAUUCAAUUCAGUACAUGUUACAAGUAUGAAUUACUGAAACGGGGUAAAAGGGGAGCCACUUACUAUCAAGAAGUUGGUCUAACUCAUCAGAGUGGUCAGUAGCCAUGGAUUCCCCCUAUAGUAUAUUCUGUUUGUGUUUUUUCUGUUAGUGUAUUGCCAGAUAUCUUAUAAAAAUCCAAUCUUUGUGAAUGGGUGAUAGAUAAAAGCGAGAUGGUGCAAUUUAUAUAAAGGGUAAUGUAUACGCACGGUAAAGAUUUUUCUUGGGAAGGUACAGUUACGUGUUUUGGCGGAAAACCCGACAAAAAUACACUAGGGUUUUGCGCAUCCCGAGGUCAUCUAAUUGCCACAUAUUAUAAAAAUAAUUAUAUUGUGGAUGUUCAUUUAUUACUCCGCUAUAAAUAAUAUUCCUGAAUAAAAUUAUUCAUUUAGUACUCUGUUGAAGUUUAUCUACAAGCAGCUGAUGCAGGCAGGUUAUAAGCAGCUCAAUGAAAUGAUUUGCAGCAGCUUCUUAUUAAACAGGCAGGUUGCAAACAGCUCAUGUAGAC